CGGAACAUCAGGCUGGAGUCAGAAUUCACCACAAGACCCGAGGAGCUAAGCAUGAGAACGAGGCAGCAGACUGGAGACAGAAAGGUCCAGAAACCACUGCUCCGGCCCCAGACUGUCCACUUCUUGGUACAAGGAGCCCAGGAAUGGAAAACCACACCAGCCAGGUUUUCUGCGACACGCUGCCAAACCAACCCUGACCCAAACACAGGCCACGGAAACGUGGGCACAAGUCCUAUGAACAGGCCUGCUACAGACCCAGAUCCACAGCAGCAACCAUGACUGCCUCUGGCCUCCAGAAGCUCGUGUUCCAGGGCAGAGGGAGAGUCAACACGUAGGCCAGCCGGCAGACAGGGCCACGCCGAGUGUUUACAGAGCGGGGUGACGUGGACAAGGACAACACGGGGACACAGUCUCGCCAAGGAGACAACGUUUGAGCUGAUGGCCCAGAGACAGGCAGGUGGCAGCCUUACAAACACCUGGGAGAUAGAUGACAGUCCCCCACAGGAAGAACGGGGGGGAGGGGGGCUCCAUUUGUGCAGAUCCGCAAACAGGAAAAAUGGAGGGAAAUCACCCAGGGAGAAGGCCUGCACACUUUUUCCUAAGGGAACUUACUUUCCCCAUCAUGACAGGAAGUCACUGGAAGGGGUCAAGCAGGCGUUACCUGAUGGGACGCGCCCCUCGAAGGAUGUCUGCAGUGACCCCAUGAGGGUAGACCACACGGGAGCAAGUCUGGACCCCAGAAAGCCAAUGAAGAACUCCUGGGGCUCAGAGAGGGGGAUCAGCGGGAGAAGAUGGGAACAGAUUUGGAGGAGCUGGCAGGCCUCGUGCGGUGAGCAAGGGACGUCAGCAGGCACUUCUGGAGACCCGCCACGGGGAGCGUAAGCAGAUGGGGAACAGAGCGGCUGGUGCACCCGGGCCUAGUGCUGCGAGAGGCUCCCUGCAGCCGAAACCCGGCUCUGACGACGCUUUCCUCCUGGGACCUGGGGACCGCUAAGGACAGCCCGGCACAGCAUGCCAGCCGCUCAGCACCCCAGCGCCCCCCAGCCAUGGUUCACGCCAGGCUCCUCUGUGGCCUGAACCACGUGAAGGUGGGCAUGUGGCCCCCACAGUGUGGCAGGAGCCAUGCCCCUUCCUUCCUCUGGCAACCCUGCUUAUCUCAGAGCGUGGGCUUCCUGGUUUUCAUUGUUUACUGUGUAAAUAUUGGGCUGGGGGAUAAUAUGAGACUCAUCAAAAGAUUUCAAUAACCUAGUAACAGAUUACCCUGUCGGUGCUAGAAAACAAGAGAAAGAUUUCCUUGGCCCUAAAAAACUAAACAUGAUAGUAGUUUUGACAUCUCAGGACCUGAGAUCUACCUUUAAGAAAGAGAAAUAAAAAAUACAAAAAUGUA